rnacentral:rRNA from 1 species
ACGAACUCUGGCGGCGUGCUUAACACAUGCAAGUCGAACGGAAAGGCCCUGCUUUUGUGGGGUGCUCGAGUGGCGAACGGGUGAGUAACACGUGAGUAACCUGCCCUUGACUUUGGGAUAACUUCAGGAAACUGGGGCUAAUACCGGAUAGGAGCUCCUGCUGCAUGGUGGGGGUUGGAAAGUUUCGGCGGUUUGGGAUGGACUCGCGGCUUAUCAGCUUGUUGGUGGGGUAGUGGCUUACCAAGGCUUUGACGGGUAGCCGGCCUGAGAGGGUGACCGGCCACAUUGGGACUGAGAUACGGCCCAGACUCCUACGGGAGGCAGCAGUGGGGAAUAUUGCACAAUGGGCGGAAGCCUGAUGCAGCAACGCCGCGUGCGGGAUGACGGCCUUCGGGUUGUAAACCGCUUUCGCCUGUGACGAAGCGUGAGUGACGGUAAUGGGUAAAGAAGCACCGGCUAACUACGUG